UCUCCCACUCUAGCAGCGGCGUUCGAUGGCGGCCCGAAAAGCACGCCGGCCAUGGCGGCGCAGCGGCUGCGCUCGCCGGAGCAGCAUGCCGUGGACGACGUCCGGCGUGCUCCUUCGUCGAGCGUGGCUGCUAGCGUCCGCAUACAUGGCGCGUCAAGGAGGGAGGAUGGGCGGCGGCCACCGCGGCAUGAAGGGCGACGGCGACCUGUGCGGCGUCGGCCACACAGGAAGCACGUCCAUUAGGGCGGCGGCGGCGGCUCAAGUUCUUCCCGCGCGUCGUCCCGAGGACGGCGGCGUCACGGCGUCUCCGCCCUCGCAACCGCGGUGGACGCGGUGCGGGCCCCGAAGGGAAGAGGCGGCUACGCGGCGCAUUAGGUGGCCAGCUCUCUCCCGUAUCCCCUUUUAAUAUGGCGCUGGCGACAGGGGACCCAAAACCUGAGUUGGUUUUUGGGCGCCCCCGAUCAGGGCGCGUUAGUUCUGAUCGAGGCUCACGUGCGUUGGUAUGUGGACCCCUUCACUUAUCGUUAUCCCUUCAAUUUUUUUUGUUAGACUAAUAGAUCUAACGGGCCUGUUUAAGCCGUCAGAUCAAAACCAACAGUUAAAAUCAAUGUUGAUGGUGCAUUGGCACGCAACAGAAGAGGAGGUGCAGUCGCCGCGGUGUGCCGUGAUCAUACUGGGACGUACCUUGGAUCCUCCGCCGUGGUAUACAAUGGGAUUAGAGAUCCAACUAUCCUGGAAACUUAUGCAUGCAGGGAAGCUUUGGCUUUGGCAGAUGAUCUUCUCGAGCGGAGGCUAAAGGUGGCAUCGGACUGCCUGGGAGUGGUGAAUGAUAUUAACAAGGGCACGGGAGAAGCCCAUGCUGCCAUCGUUCAUGAAAUAACAAGUCAUAGUAAUAGUUUUGCUUUCUGUGCUUUUGUUCAUGAGUCUAGAAACCACAACUUCGAGGCUCAUAACGUCACGAAGUUUGCUUGUAAUCUGAGUGUAGGUAGACACGCAUGGCUGGGUAAUCCUCAUGACCUUGCACGUGUGCCUAUGAACAUCCUUGAGUAAUAAAGUGGCGAGGUUUUUCUAAAAAAAGAAUUAGUGUGUUCUGCUAGGGUUUGGGGCAUCCUUGGAUCACUAGACUGGUAGCCGCCCUUGGGCGUGUAUCUCUCCUUUCCAUCCCCCUGGCUCUACUUCCCCGAACCCCUUUCUUCCUGUGAACCCUAGCUACCAAAUCAUCUGUAUCCACUACUGAUUGAGUGAGUAAUCGAUUGAAUCCGACAAGGAGCGUGUCAAAAACACAUAUCAAGAAAUCCAUCAAGGGAAAGAUGACUAACUUUCUGGCGAAGGCUUUCCAGUUUGAGACUGCACUACCGUAUCUAGCUCGUUCAUCCACUGUAGUUGUAUAACAUUUGCUGUUUAUCACAAGCAGGAAAGACUGGCAAUGGGAACUUCACUGGAAGUCUGGACAGCAAAGCAGCUGGAAACCAUAGAGUAUAUCAAGCAAACCUAUUUAUUCUUCUUCAAAAUGGGAUAAUGUCAGGGAUUUGCAUCGGUUGGUGCAUGCAUCCAUAUCAAGAAAAACCAUAUACUUUAUCAGGAAACUAUAUUGGCUACCAACAGCCAAAAAUGAAUGCUGGUAAAAUACUAGAAAAACUCUCACAUGGGCGGUCUAGUAAUAAGGCAACUUAAUUUGAGAGGAAUCGUUUGGUUUGAGAUGAAGCUAUUUUGUAACGUUCAUGUGACGUACAUAAAUUUGUUUCUGGUUUCGAUAGUUGAUUUUCUCAUGCGGCACAUGUGAAGGACAGCUGCAAGAACUCAAGAAAUCGAUGGAUGGAAAGAUUACAAACUAUCUGAUGAAGGCUUUCCAGUUUCAGACUGCCCCUACGGUGUGUCUCGUUUGUGCACUCCAUCUGAUCAUGAUGAUACUGUCUAAGCCAGUGCAUUGGAACUUUGGAUAUCUCAUUUAGACGAUCUUAGCAAUCUUGUUUUAUGUUGUACUGUUGUCAGAUUGAGCGGAGAUGGUCAGUGAGAUUCACCUUUUAUUUGCGAGCUCUAAAAUUCAGUUUUGUUCAUCUCUCUUCAUUUUUUGGAUGGUCAGAAGACCGAACGGCUCACAGAUUCCAAAAAAUAUCGGUUACUACACAACGUAGCUUAGAAGUUGUGCACUGUCAUAAAACCCCUUGUCGUCAACACGUCAAUGAUUCAUGAAUGAAUGUGUGCAGGGAGAGUACAAAAUUUAGUCUUAAAUAUUUUUCAUCACCAUCAACAACAUGCCAAAGGCAAGCCAGAAAACAUAUCAAGAAAUCUAUCGUGGGAAAGAUGAGUAGCUUUCUGCCAAAGGCUUUCCAGUUUGAGACUUCAGUACCGUGUCAGCUUCAUGCACUGCGGCUGUAUAACUUUUGCUGUUUAUCACAAGCAGGAAAGGCUGGCAAUGAGAACUUCAAAGCUGCCAGUGGACGUCUGGACAGCAAAUCUGGAAACUUGUAGUGUAUCAAGCAAACCUAUUUGUUUUCCUUCAAAGAUGAGGUAAUCCCAGUUCCUCUGCAUCCAUACUAAGCAAAAGCAUAUACUCUGCUUCAAAUCUAUAUUGGCAACCACCAGCCAUAAAGGAAUGUGGGUACUAUACUUGAAAAAACUCUACACAUGGGUGGUCUAGCAAUAUAUAAGACAACUUAGGCCUCCUUUGGUUUGGAGGAAUUUCAUAGGAAUUCUAAAGGAUAGGAUUCUUAUAGGAU